AUGACUUUCAUCACCAUCUUCAUCUGGACUCUGACUCUCUGUUUUCAUGAGUCCAGUGGACAGGUGACUGUGACUCAGACUCCUGAAGUGAAAUCUGCUCUUCUAGGAGACACGGUCACUAUUGACUGUAAGACCAGUCCUGCAGUGUACCGUGAUGGUGCUGGUGAUCAUUAUUUAUUCUGGUACCAACAGAAACCUGGACAGGCUCCUAAACUCCUGAUUAACUUGGCCAAUAAGUUAGAGUCAGGAAUUCCAGAUCGUUUCAGUGGCAGUGGAUCUGGGACUGACUUCACUCUGACCAUCAGAGGAGUCCAGACUGAAGAUGCAGGAGAUUAUUACUGUCAGAGUGUACAUGUUAUCAACUCUGUUAGAUACUGGACCAUUGGUGGAGGAACCAAACUGAAUGUUGGCAGUAACGCUCGGCCCACACUGACGGUACUGCCCCCUUCCAGUGAGGAGCUGAAGCAGGGGAAGGCCACACUCAUGUGCCUGGCCAACAAGGGCUUCCCCUCAGACUGGAAGCUGAGCUGGAAGGUGGAUGGUAAGAGCUGGAGUUCAGGGGUGAGCUCCAGCCCUGAGGUCCUACAGAAGGAUGGUCUGUACAGCUGGAGCAGCACCCUCACCCUCCAGGAGGAGCAGUGGACAAAGAUGUCAGUGACCUGUGAGGCCACACAGGGCUCCCAGUCUCCUGUGACCCAGACACUGAGGAGAGACCAGUGUUCUGAGGAGUGAGAACACACACACA